CCGGCACUUGCACUGAAAAUAGUACUAAAAUACAAGAUUUUGAUGUAUCAAAGUGUCCAGUUGAUGGCGGAUGGAGCUCCUGGUCGAACUCAACAUGUUCCGUCACAUGUGGAAACGGAACUCUGUCCAGAAAUCGAACUUGUGACAGUCCACUACCUUCCAGGGGCGGAAAAAAUUGUAAUGGGUCGAGUGUGGAUUCAUCAGAUUGCAGCUUAAGUGAUUGUCCAGUUGAUGGUCAGUGGGGUUCCUGGUCGACUGGACCAUGUUCUGUCACAUGCGGUAAUGGUAUUCGAUAUAGAAAGAGAAGUUGUGACAGCCCAUCAAAAUCUAACAAUGGACAAGAUUGUAUUGGUUCCAACAUAUUCACCGUAAUCUGUACCUUAGGAGCAUGUUCAGAAUCAUGUAAAGAAUCAGAAAAGAAACUAGAAUCAAAGAAAAUAUAAGCAAGAAAAUGGAAAAGAUAUCAGAAUAGAAAACUGAAUAGAAGAACAGAUACAAACAACAACUAACGUGUACUACAUGUUUGUCUUGUAACUUAGGGAAGAUGCAAGACAAUGGAAUUAUUUCUCGAAUAAAUUCAGAGGGAUUUUAUGAAUAAUCUAUGUUUUGUCUGAGAUUGCUAAUUAUUUACUAUGGGUUAUCUUUUCCUUCUUUAUUAUAUCUUAUUUGAACAAUGUUUUUGGUAGGUCUACAUCAAAGUGACUGAUAAUUUGCAUGCUUAAAACAACUGAUCUAUAUUUUACUAUAUGAAACUUCAACCAAUCUGUAUGAAUAUGUAUUUUGGAAUAACAGAUCUAAUCUAUUUUAUCUGGAUUUUAUUUUUU